rnacentral:lncRNA from 1 species
UAGGAAAUAAAAUUAUUUGUUUCUUUAUUUACUAGCGUUCAGUUGGUCGUAUUCAUUGUUGCCGUCAGCAACGUUUACAGUAGAGUCCCAGUUACCUCUGCAGUCUUCACUUCUCCAGCCUUCUGGCUGCUCGUAUUUUUUGUCUUUUUGAGCUGGACACUCCGCAAAAUGCCUUUAGUUGAAAACCGGUCCAGUUUAGAACUGGAUCAGUCAGUGAUCCCUGUAAACACCUCACAGAGACUCUUUUUGGUUUUAUUUUAAAAGCAUUGAAAUAAAUACCUAAAUGAAGGGUUUUCUAUUCCUAUAUUUUUACUGUGCUGUUAAAUCCAGCAGUUUUUUCAAAUACAGCCCAUAUUACAUAAAGUUCCUCACUGUCCACAUUGUCUGUGCCAGUUCCUGUCUAGACGGGAUGAUCGAGGCUCUACUCCGUGUGCUUAACAUCUUUGUCCGGGGCGAUAUACACUGCUAGAUGCUAAAGUUUACUGCAGUCAUUUACUCAUUUGUACUGUGUGACAAAGGGCUCAAGAGCCGGAGCAGGUAUUUGAAGCAGGACAGGUGUAACCGCUGUGGCCGCGUCUGACAGCUCGUACCUGAACGCAUCUCACCUUUCUUUUGGUCGCAGGGUCUCCCCGGUCCCCCCGGCCCUCCCGGCCCCACAGUAAGUACGGAUGCGAUAGGGGCUUUUCGAGGGGCGCUGGGGGGGUGGGGGUGGUCAUGGGGGGGUGGAGAUGUAGGCAGUGCAGUGCUGCCACAUCAUUGACUCCCCCUACUGGAGAGCCGGAAGAACAUCUGCUUGCUGGACAGUUACCUUCAUUUACCUCGGCUUCCCGUAAAAAUAAGUCUCUGAUAAGGUGCAUCGUAGUAAAAAGUAAUCCUGUACAUGUUUCAUAGUAUUUUGCUGUCUUGACCUAUUUAUUUGCUUGUUUUCACAGGGAAGCCCUGGUUCUCGUUUCAAAGGAGAGAGUGGAGAGAAGGGGGACCCCGGUCAGCCAGGACCCCCGGGACUGCAAGGGCAACAGACGCUAGCAGGGGCGCCGGAAAGCACCAUCCUCAAAGGACCCAAGGGUGACCAGGGUUUCAAGGGGUUGCCAGGUUCCCCAGGAAUUCCAGGUUUACCGGGGCCUUACGGGUAUCCGGGGGAGCCGGGCGAGAAGGGGGUUAUUGGACUGCCGGGAGGGCGGGGCGCAUCCGGCUUUAUCGGACCCCCUGGGUCUCAGGGCAGACAGGUAGGGCGGCGACGUCACCCGGAAGAGAUACUGUCAUCUGUCAUCCCUGCUCUGAGAUUUUCACCGCUCACUGACUGUAAUCAUGCACACAUUUUCCUGCACAGGGCUUCCCUGGGAGUCCAGGAUUCCCUGGGCAACCUGGAUUUCCAGGAUUUAAAGGGGAGCCUGGAGACCCCGGCCCCCC